GAUGAACGCUAGCGGCAGGCCUAAUACAUGCAAGUCGAGGGGCAGCGGGAGUAGCAAUACUUGCCGGCGACCGGCGCACGGGUGCGUAACACGUAUACAAUCUACCUUUAACAGGGGGAUAGCCCGGAGAAAUCCGGAUUAAUACCCCAUAACAAAUUGAAUGGCAUCAUUUGAUUUUGAAAGCUUCGGUGGUUAGAGAUGAGUAUGCGCCUGAUUAGUUAGUUGGUGAGGAACGGCUCACCAAGACUACGAUCAGUAGGGGAUCUGAGAGGAUUAACCCCCACACGGA
rnacentral:rRNA from 1 species